rnacentral:rRNA from 1 species
AUUGAACGCUGGCGGCAUGCUUUACACAUGCAAGUCGAACGGUAACAGGUUAAGCUGACGAGUGGCGAACGGGUGAGUAAUGCAUCGGAACGUGCCCGAUCGUGGGGGGUAACGCAGCGAAAGCUGCGCUAAUACCGCAUACGAUCUGAGGAUGAAAGCGGGGGACCGUAAGGCCUCGCGCGAUCGGAGCGGCCGAUGUCAGAUUAGGUAGUUGGUGUGGUAAAGGCUCACCAAGCCGACGAUCUGUAGCUGGUCUGAGAGGACGACCAGCCACACUGGGACUGAGACACGGCCCAGACUCCUACGGGAGGCAGCAGUGGGGAAUUUUGGACAAUGGGCGCAAGCCUGAUCCAGCAAUGCCGCGUGCAGGAAGAAGGCCUUCGGGUUGUAAACUGCUUUUGUACGGAGCGAAAAGGCUCUCUCUAAUACAGGGGGCUCAUGACGGUACCGUAAGAAUAAGCACCGGCUAACUACGUGCCAGCAGCCGCCGUAACAC